GAAGUCCCAUCACAUGUGACUUUGUAUAUAUCGCACAUUCUAAUAACAAUUUAACUGUGAAAUGUAACUGCAAAACUUAUCAGACUCAAACAAUGUGUUCUAAAAACUUGAGGGUGUAAGCAGGAAGAGGGAUCAUGGUCAGCCUUACUCACCGCUCUGUUUUUUUCUGAUUAUCUCUGUUAUGCAUUCCUAAAUGAUGUUGCAUAUUACCACAGUGUAUUGCAUGCACAGCAUGUCCAAUGCGGCGGAUUUAUACAAACAUCACUUAACACUUUAAUUGAGGCUCAAUUUAUAUCAAAUAUUAUUUUUUUUCAGCAGCCUGAAAGCAUGUUAUCUCCAUUUUUAUUGAAGAAAAUUAUUUCUAGCAUGAUCUGUUCUUUUCAAGUCACCAAUGCAUUUUAACCCCUUUUUAAACCCGUUUUUCCUUUUUCCGUUAAUCAGCUAUCAUUACUUUCUUCAAGCUGUGUUCUAAAACUCAACAUAUGAUGCCGGUAGGAUUCACUAUCUUGUAAGUGUUUCUGAAAUUCAGAUUUGAUAUGAUCCCAUCAGGUGAUACCACCAGCAGUUAAUAGAGUCAUUCUUAGUGUAGCAUUGGAACCAUUGGAGCAUGGUUCCCUUGGGUUCGUGCCCUGUGUCUACGACGUUCUCCUGUUAGCGUCAGCUCCUCCUCAAGCUCCAGCCAGUUUGGCAGGAGAAAGGGCAGGUUGUCUGGGCUGCCUGUGGGCUUCCUGGCCAGUGGGACGGUGUGAGCUGCUCUCAGGCUGAAGAAGAAGGUGAGCUUAACCCACCAUUCCCUCAGCUCCCACAGUGGUUUGGGUCUUGCUGUCCUCUAGGCAGCUGCUCAGUUGCAUGAAUGAUUAAUGAUGGGAAUUAAUGAGGCUAAUUAAGGUUAAUGAUGAGCAUGGAAAAAGUCAUCUUUUUUUAAUUCUAAAAAGCUAUAUGUAGUCACCUAUUCAUAACUCAUGCAUUUUCUUUCAAAUAAUUUUCUUUAUAUAUGAGAAGAAACACAUCCCAUUCAUGUUAUGAUAGAGUUUGCGUAGUUUUAGAUCAGAAGAAAUUCUUUAAAAUUUGUAAAACAGAAAACAUCUAACACCAGGUAUCAGAUUGUGUAUACAGGCCACAAUUUGGCAGACAUUUAACGCAUAUGUCUAAUUUUCAAUUGGAACUUGAUUUCCUUUGGCUUCCAGGAAACCUUAGUGUAUGUUAAAAUUAACUCUGCUGAUUGGAGGCAAUAGCGUCAUUGCAUGUUUGCAUGACUUGAUAAACAACUGCGUAUGCACCAGAAGAAUUUCGUUGACUGUGUUGAGCCUAGUGAGGCUACGCAUCUGUACUGAUCCAUCAAUGGAAAAGAAAUUUUUCAGAGCUGCUGUUGGUCUAAAACAACAAGCACGGGACAGCUGCCAGGGUCCCGUUGCUGGGCAGAUCACCAGGUUUUGGACCGUCAUUGAGGGCUAUUGCUCCGACCACCAGCUGCUCACACAGCAAAAACAUAUGGGGGCAGCAGAUUCACCCUCCCUCCCUUCCUUCCUUCGUUCCUUCCUUCCUGCCUGCCUUCCUUCCUUCCUCCAAUUCAAGACAACUGUCUUCUUGAUGACUCUGUAGGAUUACAGCUGACCUUGCUACAGGACAGCAUGGGGCUUCAUGAGCCACAUUGCCACUUUUUAUCAUCCCUCCGUCUUCUUCAGCAUCUUCUCCAGCAUCUUCUCACAAACCUUGACAGUGCCACCACUGUUUCAUUUUUGUUAAUAAUCUUGCUUAUCUGAAAUAAACUGACAGUUUAUUGCAACUUCAAAAAAAUAACUUUCCUUUAUAUUUGUUCCCAGUUCUUUAUUUUUUCUUUCAGCUUCAGUGGCCAGCUUCUUUGGCUAAUGGAUGAUACAGCACAUUGCCUGAAUCCAUUAGAUAUCUGGGAAUGCCAUUUCCCUAGAUUACCUCACCAGCCCAACUCUUUGACUCCACUGGAAGCUAUCCUAAGCGGGGAAAUGAUGGAUGAGCCAGCCAGCCUGCAGGGUGAGUCACCACAGGAAGGUGGACUGUCAUCUGGCAAUUACGAUGAAGAAGGAAGUGUGCCAGCAAAACAGGUGAUCUGAGCAAUGCAUUGCACCCCACAUGCCAAAAUGGAUAUUGCACAAUGCUGUGCUGCGACAGAGAAGUGUGGAAAAAAGCACAAGCAUGCAUUUCCAAAAUGGCCUUCAAAGUAGGAAUUAAAUAAAAAACAAAACUCAGCCUGUUUCUUUUCAUAGACAACUUUGAUACCAGGGGUGAAUAUAACAAUCAAGAAAUGGAUAGAGCAGUGGUAUAGUACGACCCUCUCAGAAUUUUUCAUCAGUUUUAUUUGGGUGUCUUUUCCUGUGCAUGGAGGGUUGAAAGUAGGAUCACAAACACAAUUUAUGAGUGUGCAACAAUUAUGCUAUUUGUUGGAUUGUACAUGCAAUAAAUGGCUGGGCCUAACAUGCUAUUAGCCUACGCACUGACGUCCUCAUCACCUCUGAUGCAGGUACUCACUGGCUUUCUGCUGGUCAGGCAGAUGGUAAUCAGAUGGGGAAGUGUCAUUCUCCAUUGCUGCUUGCAAUAGGCUGAUCUUGAGUUUUGCUGAGUUGCUAUCUUCUAUUUUGAUUUUUUUUUCUCAGGGUUUUAGAGGUUUUUCAGUUAAUAGUUUUUCCUUCAGUCCUUGAGUGACUGCUACUGACUCAAUAAUUUCAUUUCUGUCCUUGUUUCUGUUUUUUUUAUAAGUCUUGCUUGGUGUAAGUUUAUGUGCUGUCACUCAUAGCUUAGCAACCUUUUUUUUAGUAAAGCGGAGCUGGGGUCAUGUGGCCAACCUAGGCUUUGUGUUGAAAAAUGAGAGUGUGUGAAAGAUCUACCAAAAUGGUGGGACAGAGAUUCAUCUGUGCUUGUUGUCUGAUAUAUUUCUGAGCAUUUCGCUGGCUUAAAAAUGUGGACCUUGCCAGAUGGCAGAAAGACUCGGAGAAAUAGGUACGGACCACAAACAUCACCUGGAUUCAGAUGUGCUCUAUAACUGGUGAUAUCAGUGGUGGUCUUUGUAAUGCCAAUCAGAAAAUUCGGGGAAGGGUGCACUUGAAGGUGAAAAUGAAGCUGAAAACAAAACAGUGCUGCAUGAUAUUCUGACUUUGACCAUGCACAGGUCUAUAAGAAGAAAAAAAAACACUCUGAGAAUAAUUAAUCACUGGCAAAGGUUGCUCAGAGAGGUUUGGCAAUCUCCAUCCGUGGAGGUUUUCCAAACUUGACUGGAUAAAGCCCUGAGCAGCCUGGUCUGAGCUCAGCGUUGACCCUGCAAGGACUAGGGACCUCCUGAGUCCCCUUCCAGCUUGGAUCAUUCAGUGAUUCUGUGAUUUAAGUUGCUGUUAGAGCCAAGAGUAAGUGAGGUGGAGGUGGUAUUACAAAUGCUCAGCAUGACAUUUCCCGGUAUGGCUGAGUCUCUGUAAAACCUAGCUGCUGCCAUCCAUGUAAGGUGAUCCCAUCUCUCUCUGGGUCCUGUCCUGGUGUUCCUAGUCUCUCUCUUGAGCUAGUGCUGGCCCUUGUCCAACAUCUCUGUGAGCCGUUUCAGCUCACCAACCUGGCAGAAGCUGAUUAGUGUGCUUUUUUUUUUUUAAACUGGUUGGCUUUCUGCUGAUUUAGUUAGCCGAACUGUUUCAUGAAGGGACAGACGAGCACCGCAGCAUGAGGAGGAGGUGGGAACAUGUGGUUAAGACUGGAAGGAGUUACGGCUGGGCAAGGCCCUCUCGGUGGGAGUGAGCCACUGAAUUUGCCUUGCUGUCUCAUGAAACAAUGCGAUAUAUCUACAGCAGCUUCAAUACGGGCAUAACAACACAUUGGGUAAGCCCAAAAAGAAAGCAUCAUAAGAAAACAAAAACUCAGAAAUAAAAAUUCUUUAAUGCUAAGACCGAUGAAAAGCAUGGAAUUACAAAAAGGAACAAGAAAACAGACAAAUCAGUGAAAAAUCAUGUUCAAGGAAAGAUAAACAGAGAUAUAUUAAAGACCCAGCACUUGAAACUGAAACUCCUGCCAUGGUAGGAAACCACAGAUCUUGUUUACCGAGUUACAAAAAUCCUGUGCAGCUAGUUUAAACAGGAAAUGGGUUGAUCAGAAGCAAAGACAGGCAAAUGCGUACAACAGAGAUAAAAUAGAUGGGCAAAGCAUUUUAAAGAGGUCAGCAGCAAAAACUCAGCCUUACUUUGACAUGAGUUUCUGUGACAUGAGAUGACGUGAUUUCCAACAACAGGAGAUUGCCACUGGCACAGUAGUGAUAUCAGAAAAGCAAGUUGUAGUCCAGUAGGUAGCAGCAACAGUGCAAUGAAAGACAAUUUGAUUGUAGCAGAAAUGCUACGAGUCCACAAUGUCACUGCAGAAAUAAUUUUUUUUAAGUUGUUGAAUAAAAUCUGGGGAAAAAACAACAACAACAAACCCCAAACUUCUGGUGGGAGGGCACACGGAGUUGUUAAAAUAUUUAACAAUGAGACUGGAAAAGUGUUUCUCUGCCUUAUGCUAUAGGGGAGGUCAUUUGCAGUGGAAUGCCGCACAAGAUGACACAGAUGAUGGAUGCAGAAUUGGAAUAGCACAGCCUCUGGACUCAGGCCCAGAAAACUGGAUAUUUGCACAAAAGAGCAUCCUGAAAGAACACACACAAUGAUGGGCUUUGCUUAUCACCAGUUUCAUUGAUUUUAUUCUUAAGAUUACUUGAGAGCAGCCUCAGGAAUGCCUUGUAGAACUAUAGCACUCAGCUCGUUCUCCAUCAUCACGGUCUUGCAGAGGGAUGGAUGGCUGCAUCUGGGAAUGCAUCUAAGUAAUAGGCUGGUUCCCCUGGAACACUGGCGUAAAAUGAGG